rnacentral:tRNA from 1 species
GCGCGCGUGGCGUAGGAGCAACGCGGCGGUCUGCCAGUCCGCAGUCCCGGGUGCGAUUCCCGGCGCGCGCACCA